GUGGGGAAUCUUGCGCAAUGGGCGAAAGCCUGACGCAGCAACGCCGCGUGCGGGAUGAAGGCCUUCGGGUUGUAAACCGCUUUCAGCAGGGACGAAUCUGACUGUACCUGCAGAAGAAGCCCCGGCUAACUACGUGCCAGCAGCCGCGGUAAUACGUAGGGGGCAAGCGUUAUCCGGAUUCAUUGGGCGUAAAGCGCGCGUAGGCGGCUUGUUAAGUCAGGUGUGAAAACCGGGGGCUCAACCCGCGGCCUGCACCUGAAACUGGCAGGCUUGAGUCUGGUAGAGGGAAAUGGAAUUCCGAGUGUAGCGGUGAAAUGCGCAGAUAUUCGGAAGAACACCAGUGGCGAAGGCGGUUUCCUGGGCCACGACUGACGCUGAGGCGCGAAAGCUAGGGGAGCGAACAGGAUUAGAUACCCUGGUAGUCC
rnacentral:rRNA from 1 species